rnacentral:rRNA from 1 species
GAGGGUAAAUGGGGCGCACCCUGAUCCAGCAUGCCGCGUGUGUGAAGAAGGCCUUCGGGUUGUAAAGCACUUUUAUCGUUUAAGAAACACGUCUGACUAAUAUUCGGGGGAGCUGACGGUACCUGAGGAAUAAGCACCGGCUAACUCCGUGCCAGCAGCCGCGGUAAUACGAAGGGUGCAAGCGUUAAUCGGAAUUACUGGGCGUAAAGGGUGCGUAGGCGGUUUGUUAAGUCUGCUGUGAAAUCCCCGGGCUCAACCUGGGAAUGGCGAUGGAUACUGGCUUGCUGGAGUGCGGCAGAGGAUGGUGGAAUUCCCGGUGUAGCGGUGAAAUGCGUAGAGAUCGGAAGGAACAUCAGUGGCGAAGGCGACCUUCUGGAACAACACUGACGCUGAGGCACGAAAGCGUGGGGAGCAAACAGGAUUAGAUACCCUGGUAGUCCACGCCCUAAACGAUGCGAACUGGAUGUUGGUCGCAACUUGGAAAUCAGUCUCGAAGCUAACGCGUUAAGUUCGCCGCCUGGGGAGUACGGUCGCAAGACUG